rnacentral:rRNA from 1 species
AGUGAACGCUGGCGGUAGGCCUAACACAUGCAAGUCGAACGGCAGCACAGUAAGAGCUUGCUCUUACGGGUGGCGAGUGGCGGACGGGUGAGGAAUACAUCGGAAUCUACUUUUUCGUGGGGGAUAACGUAGGGAAACUUACGCUAAUACCGCAUACGACCUACGGGUGAAAGCAGGGGAUCUUCGGACCUUGCGCGAUUGAAUGAGCCGAUGUCGGAUUAGCUAGUUGGCGGGGUAAAGGCCCACCAAGGCGACGAUCCGUAGCUGGUCUGAGAGGAUGAACCGCCACACUGGAACUGAGACACGGUCCAGACUCCUACGGGAGGCAGCAGUGGGGAAUAUUUGACAAUGGGCGCAAGCCUGAUCCAGCCAUACCGCGUUGGUGAAGAAGGCCUUCGGGUUGUAAAGCCCUUUUGUUGGGAAAGAAAAGCAGCAGGUUAAUACCCCGCUGUUCUGACGGUACCCAAAGAAUAAGCACCGGCUAACUUCGUG